GACGAACGCUGGCGGCGUGCCUAAUACAUGCAAGUAGAACGCACAGGAUGCACCGUAGUUUACUACACCGUAUUCUGUGAGUUGCGAACGGGUGAGUAACGCGUAGGUAACCUGCCUGGUAGCGGGGGAUAACUAUUGGAAACGAUAGCUAAUACCGCAUAAGAACAUUUACUGCAUGGUAGAUGUUUAAAAGGUGCAAAUGCAUCACUACCAGAUGGACCUGCGUUGUAUUAGCUAGUAGGUGAGGUAACGGCUCACCUAGGCGACGAUACAUAGCCGACCUGAGAGGGUGAUCGGCCACACUGGGACUGAGACACGGCCCAGACUCCUACGGGAGGCAGCAGUAGGGAAUCUUCGGCAAUGGGGGGAACCCUGACCGAGCAACGCCGCGUGAGUGAAGAAGGUUUUCGGAUCGUAAAGCUCUGUUGUUAAGGAAGAACGAGUGUGAGAAUGGAAAGUUCAUACUGUGACGGUACUUAACCAGAAAGGGACGGCUAACUACGUGCCAGCAGCCGCGGUAAUACGUAGGUCCCGAGCGUUGUCCGGAUUUAUUGGGCGUAAAGCGAGCGCAGGCGGUUAGAUAAGUCUGAAGUUAAAGGCAGUGGCUCAACCAUUGUAGGCUUUGGAAACUGUUUAACUUGAGUGCAGAAGGGGAGAGUGGAAUUCCAUGUGUAGCGGUGAAAUGCGUAGAUAUAUGGAGGAACACCGGUGGCGAAAGCGGCUCUCUGGUCUGUAACCGACGCUGAGGCUCGAAAGCGUGGGGAGCGAACAGG
rnacentral:rRNA from 1 species